AACGUACCACCGAAACUAAGGGAUCCGCAAGGAUCGGUAGAGGAGCAUUGCAUGCGGAAUGAAGCAGUACCGUAAGGAGCUGUGGACUGCAUGGAAGAGAGAAUGCCGGAAUGAGUAGCGAGAUAAAGGUGAGAAUCCUUUAGGCCGAAUAUCCAAGGUUUCCAGGGUAAAGCUGAUCUGCCCUGGGUAAGUCGGGGCCUAAGGCGAGGACGAGAGUCGUAGCCGAUGGACAACAGGUGGAGAUUCCUGUACUGCGGUAUGACAGAACUGUGGGGACACGUAAGGAAAGCGGAAGCCGGGAAUGGAAAGCCCGGUGCAAGCAGGGUACCAGUCGCUUAGGCAAAUCCGGGCGGCAAUGGGAAGCUGUGAUGCGGAGCGAAAUACAAGUAGCGAAGUCCGUGAGCCAUGCGUCAAGAAAAGCCGCUAUUGUUUAUACCGUACCCGUACCGUAAACCGACACAGGUGGAUGAGGAGAGAAUCCUAAGGCCGGCGGAAGAAGCAUUGUCAAGGAACUCGGCAAAAUGACCCCGUAACUUCGGGAGAAGGGGUGCCACUGAGAAGUGGCCGCAGAGAAUAGGCUCAAGCAACUGUUUAGCAAAAACACAGGUCUAUGCGAAACCGAAAGGUGAGGUAUAUGGGCUGACGCCUGCCCGGUGCUGGAAGGUUAAGAGGAGAGGUUAGCGCAAGCGAAGCUUUGAAUUUAAGCCCCAGUAAACGGCGGCCGUAACAAUAACGGUCCUAAGGUAGCGAAAUUCCUUGUCGGGUAAGUUCCGACCCGCACGAAAGGCGUAAUGAUUUGAGCGCUGUCUCGACAAUGCAUCCGGUGAAAUUGAAGUACCAGUGAAGAUGCUGGUUACCUGCGCCAGGACGGAAAGACCCCAUGGAGCUUUACUCCAGUUUGGUACUGGGGUCCGGUAUUGCAUGUACAGGAUAGGUGGGAGGCUAGGAAGCAGCAACGCCAGUUGCUGCGGAGCCGCUGUUGGGAUACCACCCUUGCAGUACUGGGCUUCUAACCAGCCGCCGUGAACCGGCGGUGGGACAAUGCCAGACGGGGAGUUUGACUGGGGCGGUCGCCUCCGAGAGGGUAUCGGAGGCGCCCAAAGGUUCCCUCAGAAUGGACGGAAACCAUUCGAAGAGUGCAAAGGCAGAAGGGAGCUUGACUGCGACACCGACGGGUGGAGCAGGUACGAAAGUAGGGCUUAGUGAUCCGGUGGUAUUAAGUGGGAAUGCCAUCGUUCAACGGAUAAAAGCUACCCUGGAUAACAGGCUUAUCACUCCCAAGAGUUCACAUCGACGGAGUGGUUUGGCACCUCGAUGUCGGCUCAUCGCAUCCUGGGGCUGUAGUAGGUCCCAAGGGUUGGGCUGUUCGCCCAUUAAAGCGGUACGCGAGCUGGGUUCAGAACGUCGUGAGACAGUUCGGUCCCUAUCCGGCGUGGGCGUAGGAUAUCUGAGAGGAGCUGUCCUUAGUACGAGAGGACCGGGAUGGACGGACCGCUGGUGUACCGGUUAGACUGCCAAGUCUACGGCCGGGUAGCCAAGUCCGGAAGGGAUAAACGCUGAAGGCAUCUAAGCGUGAAGCCCCCCUCAAGAUGAGAUGUCCCAUUCGAAAGAAGUAAACCCCCUUGAAGACGACGAGGUAGAUAGGGCAGGGGUGGAAGUGUGGUAACACACGGAGCUGACUGUUACUAAUAGGGUGAGGGCUUGACC
rnacentral:rRNA from 1 species